rnacentral:rRNA from 1 species
UAGGGAAUAUUGGGCAAUGGAUGCAAGUCUGACCCAGCCAUGCCGCGUGCCGGAUGAAGGCCCUCAGGGUUGUAAACGGCUUUUAUCCGGGAAGAAGACCGGGGGUGCGCCCCCGGGUGACGGUACCGGAGGAAUAAGCACCGGCUAACUCCGUGCCAGCAGCCGCGGUAAUACGGAGGGUGCGAGCGUUGUCCGGAUUUAUUGGGUUUAAAGGGUGCGUAGGUGGCCUGGUAAGUCAGUGGUGAAAUGCGGCCGCUCAACGGUCGAACUGCCAUUGAUACUGCCGGGCUUGAGACAGAUGGAGGUCGCCGGAACGGAUGGUGUAGCGGUGAAAUGCAUAGAUAUCAUCCAGAACACCGAUUGCGAAGGCAGGUGACUACGCCUGUUCUGACACUGAGGCACGAAAGCAUGGGGAGCAAACAGG